CCAGSCAGCCGSSGKUAUUACGUWGGGGGSMARSGUUGUUCSGRAUGAUUGGGCGUWAAGGGCGCGUAGGCGGCCYKUUAAGUCUGGAGKGAAAUUCCCGCUUUUAAGGUKGGRAACUGCUUUGGAUACUGAUGGGCUUGAGUGCAGGAGAGGUAAGCGGAAUUCCCGGUGUAGCGGUGAAAUGCGUAGAGAUCGGGAGGAACACCAGUGGCGAAGGCGGCUUACUGGACUGUAACUGACGCUGAGGCGCGAAAGUGUGGGGAGRAAACAGGAUUAGAUACCCUGGUAGUCCACACUGUAAACGACUUCUAGGUGUAGGGGGUAUCGACCCCUCUUCCGGAGUAACACAAUAAGCAUCCGACUGG
rnacentral:rRNA from 1 species